UUCACCCAAAGAGAGAAGAUACUCUGUACUAUCUCACUAAGGGUAACACCACUUUUACUAAGUCAUAUCACAAGCACAUUAGUGGGUCUCUAUACUAAAUAAUAACGCCAUCUCCUUUGACAGGCAGGGUCGCGCAUCAAUCCACCGCAACUCAUGAGUUGUUCUCAUAUCUCGGAAUGCGAGGAACAGAAAAAGUCCCAAUAUUGAGCAAAGAGACACCAAAAGACAGUAGACAUACUACCCUACACCAAGCACGGAUGAGCACAAGGAAGACGUGGAAGAAGAAUAAAAUCUCUUAUAGUCACAUAGAUUACUUUUCAAUAGUUCGAUUUAUUUGUUUUUUACAAGUUAUUUCCCUUCGCCUCACGGAAGCUUAUGACAAUUCGCAUUUCUUAUUAAUGAUUAAAUCAAGUUUUUACUUUA